rnacentral:rRNA from 1 species
UACGGAGGAUCCAAGCGUUAUCCGGAAUCAUUGGGUUUAAAGGGUCCGUAGGCGGUCUUAUAAGUCAGUGGUGAAAGUUUUUAGCUUAACUAAAAAUUGCCAUUGAUACUGUUAGACUUGAAUUACUUGGAAGUAACUAGAAUAUGUAGUGUAGCGGUGAAAUGCUUAGAUAUUACAUGGAAUACCAAUUGCGAAGGCAGGUUACUAUGAGUUAAUUGACGCUGAUGGACGAAAGCGUGGGUAGCGAACAGGAUUAGAAACCCCGGUAGU